rnacentral:rRNA from 1 species
CAAUAGCGUAUAUUAAAGUUGUUGCAGUUAGAACGCUCGUAGUCGGAUUUCGGGACGGGCCGACCGGUCUGCCGAUGGGUAUGCACUGGUCGGCGCGUCCUUCCUUCCGGAGACCGUCCCUACUCUUAACUGAGCGGGGGCGGGAGACGGGACUUUUACUUUGAAAAAAUCAGAGUGUUUCAAGCAGGCAGCUCGCUCUUGCAUGGAUUAGCAUGGGAUAAUGAAAUAGGACUUUGGUGCUAUUUUGUUGGUUUCGAACACCGAAGUAAUGAUGAGAAGGGACAGUCAGGGGCACUCGUAUUCCGCCGAGAGAGGUGAAAUUCUCAGACCAGCGGAAGACGAACCACUGCGAAAGCAUUUGCCAGGGAUGUUUUCACUGA